rnacentral:misc_RNA from 1 species
AACGCACAUUGCGCCCUCUGGUAUUCCGGAGGGCAUGCCUGUCCGAGCGUCAUUGCUGCCCUCAAGCACGGCUUGUGUGUUGGGCCCCCGUCCCCCCCACCGGGGGGACGGGCCCGAAAGGCAGCGGCGGCACCGCGUCCGGUCCUCGAGCGUAUGGGGCUUUGUCACCCGCUCUUGUAGGCCCGGCCGGCGCCAGCCGACCCCCCUCAAUCUAUUUUUUCAGGUUGACCUCGGAUCAGGUAGGGAUACCCGCUGAACUUAA